AAUAUGUCUCUUAUGACCGAAUGACCAUAGAGAUCAAUCCAAUCUGAAUACUACGCAUAAGGAAUACAGAUCUAUGCAUCUCAUACAUGAUUUAAUAAUCUCAGAUUUAAAUAAAAUUAAAAUAAAUUAUUUAAAUCAGAAAAUAAUUUUUAGAUCUAAGAUUAAAAUUAUAUUAAAUAUAUCUAAUUGAAAUCGUGGCUCUGAUACCACUAUU
rnacentral:lncRNA from 1 species